GGUGUUGUGGCUCAGUGAUAGAGUGCUCCCCUCUUAUGUGAGAAGCACUGAGUUCAAUCCUCAGCACUACAU
rnacentral:tRNA from 1 species